AGAGCCGGCUGUGGGCAGCGGACGCGGUUCUGCCGGGAGCCGAAGUUGGCGGUGAACGUGUACUCAACGUCAGUGACUGGUGAUGAUCUAAGUCCACGUGGCAUGCGGGCCUGGCUCAAUGAGUCUCUGCAGUUGAAUCUGACACAGCUGUGCUCAGGGGCUGCCUAUUGUGUUUAUGGACUUGCUGUUCCCUGGCUCCAUUGCCUUGAAGAAAGUGAAAUUCCAAGCUAAGCUAGAACACGAGUACAUCCAGAACUUCAAAAUACAAGCAGGUUUUAAGAGGAUGGGUGUUGACAAAAUAAUUCCUAUGGACAAAUUAGUAAAAGGAAUGUUUCAGGACAAUUGUGAAUUCGUUCAGUGAUUCAAGGAGUUUUCUGCCGCAAACUAUGACGGAAAAGACUAUGACCCUGUGGCUGCCAGACGAGGUCAAGGAACGGCAGCGGCUCCCUCCCUCGUUGCUCAGCUGGUCAACGUAUUGAAACUUACUGUUAAAGACUUGGAGAAAGACAGGGAUUUCUACUUCGGAAAGCUACGGAACAUUGAAUUGAUUUGCCAGGGGAUGAGGAGGAAAACCACCCGGUAUUGCGGAGGACUGUAGCCGUUCCGUAUGCCACAGAUGGAGGCUUAUGUGAUGCCUGAGGAAGGGGACCAACAGGAGGAGCAAGAAGAGGGUGAGCAGCCUGGAGCAGCAGAGCAACACCCGGACUCCUCACUCCGAAUCAUGGGCUUCGCUGUAAAAUACUCCCUUUCGUUAUCCUUAGAGGCCUCACUGGUUUCUUUUCAUAAGCAAAAAGCACUUGUUCUAAAGUGCAUGUUGCAGACGUUUCCCUCCUUCUCCAGGAAGUUUGAGUUAGGAGCUCUCACCUUGUAGCACGCAGCCUCAACAUCUAGUUGGUUCACCUGGGAAGCAAAGAGGCUGACCCUGGGGCUCGCCGUUCGGAUUCGGGUCACACUGAGUGUUGGAGGAGAGGUUGUGUCGUAUGCUGAGGCAGCGGCCUCAGUGGAGAAAUGUCAAGACUGAAUUGAAUUCUAAGCUACUGUGAAAUCAGAGAAUGCUGUAAUAAAUGAAUGCCUUAAGAGAGAAAAAAA